GAUGAACGCUAGCGGCAGGCCUAACACAUGCAAGUCAGGGGUAGAACACUUCGGUGUUUGAGACCGGCGCACGGGUGCGUAACGCGUAUGCAAUCUACCUUGUACAGGGGAAUAGCCCAGAGAAAUUUGGAUUAAUGCCCCAUAGUAUAUAACCUUCGCAUGUUGGUUAUAUUAAAGUUCCAACGGUAAAAGAUGAGCAUGCGUCCCAUUAGCUAGAUGGUAAGGUAACGGCUUACCAUGGCGACGAUGGGUAGGGGUCCUGAGAGGGAGAUCCCCCACACUGGUACUGAGACACGGACCAGACUCCUACGGGAGGCAGCAGUGAGGAAUAUUGGACAAUGGGCGCAAGCCUGAUCCAGCCAUGCCGCGUGCAGGAUGACGGUCCUAUGGAUUGUAAACUGCUUUUGUACAGGAAGAAACACUCCCUCGUGAGGGAGCUUGACGGUACUGUAAGAAUAAGGAUCGGCUAACUCCGUG
rnacentral:rRNA from 1 species